GGCCAACACAAACAUCCACAGCACCAAACACCCAACGUAGAACCUAGACCCAAGCAUAACACAAGACAACAAAUACAUAUACACAUCAGAUCUGUCGGAUCGCAUUACCCCAUUCAGCUAGCGUACUGUGACUAUGACCUAUAUACCUAAAAAUAUGAAUCACUAUGCGCAUGCAGCCAUGAAUCUGAUCAACAUGGAUUCGGAGAAUCGGGUAGUGCUCAAUGUGGGCGGCAUUCGGCAUGAAACGUACAAGGCGACACUGAAGAAGAUUCCAGCCACGCGUCUAUCACGUCUGACCGAGGCGCUGGCCAACUACGAUCCCAUACUGAACGAGUACUUCUUCGACAGGCAUCCAGGUGUAUUCGCACAAGUGCUCAACUACUACAGAACUGGCAAGCUGCAUUAUCCUACAGAUGUGUGCGGUCCGCUGUUCGAGGAGGAAUUGGAAUUUUGGGGUCUCGACUCGAAUCAGGUGGAGCCCUGCUGCUGGAUGACCUAUACACAGCAUCGUGACACACAAGAAACCCUAGCCGUACUCGAUCGCUUAGAUCUGGAUACGGAAAAACCGUCCGAAGAGGAAUUGGCACGCAAAUUUGGCUUCGAGGAGGAUUAUUACAAAGGCACCAUCACCUGGUGGCAGGAAAUGAAGCCGCGCAUUUGGUCGCUAUUCGACGAGCCAUACAGUUCAAAUGCCGCCAAGACCAUUGGCGUCGUCUCGGUGUUCUUCAUAUGCAUUUCGAUAUUGUCCUUCUGUCUGAAAACCCAUCCGGAUAUGCGUGUGCCCAUCGUGCACAAUGUCACAGUGAAGACGGCGAAUGGCAGCGCCGCCUGGUUCCUGGACAAGUCAAUGACCAAUGCGCACAUUGCCUUCUUCUACAUAGAAUGCGUUUGCAAUGCCUGGUUUACGUUCGAGAUAUUGGUUCGCUUCAUCUCGUCGCCGAACAAGUGUGAAUUCUUAAAGUCAUCUGUUAACAUCAUAGAUUAUAUAGCGACGCUUAGUUUUUAUAUUGAUCUAGUGCUUCAGCGAUUCGCAUCGCAUCUGGAGAACGCUGACAUACUCGAGUUCUUCUCGAUUAUACGCAUCAUGCGUCUGUUCAAGCUGACCCGCCAUUCGUCCGGCCUGAAAAUCCUGAUACAGACGUUCCGCGCCUCCGCCAAGGAGCUAACACUUCUGGUAUUCUUCCUGGUGCUGGGCAUUGUGAUCUUUGCCAGUCUCGUCUAUUAUGCCGAGCGCAUACAGCCCAAUCCGCACAACGACUUCAAUAGCAUACCGCUGGGCCUGUGGUGGGCACUGGUCACCAUGACUACCGUUGGCUACGGCGACAUGGCGCCCAAGACCUACAUUGGCAUGUUUGUCGGCGCCCUCUGCGCUCUGGCCGGUGUGCUAACCAUUGCACUGCCAGUGCCCGUCAUUGUUAGCAACUUCGCCAUGUACUAUUCGCAUACGCAGGCGCGAGCCAAACUGCCAAAGAAGCGUAGACGAGUGCUUCCCGUCGAACAGCCGCGACAGGCCCGACUGCCAGGUGAGCGCGCCCCAGGCGGCGUCAGUGGCUGUGGCACUCCAGGCUCUGGCCCACACUCCGGCCCCAUGGGCUCCGGGGGCACUGGACCCCGUCGCAUGAACAAUAAAACCAAGGAUCUGGUCAGCCCCAAGUCAGAUGAAUAUACUACAAUGAUUGGCAAACCACGUGAUGGCAAAAAGAGCAGGCUGCUCUGAGCCUUAAGCAAAGAAUCACGAACACGACAACAACAACAACAGCAACAACAACAUGAACUCUGAACCACCCCGAGAAAACUCGAAUGAAAUUUUCAAAUGCAAAGAGCAAUUGUGUACUGAACAAUGGACCAUAUCUAUGAAGCUACUGUUGAUCACAUCAUUGAGAAUGAAUAUUUAAAUUAUCACAAAAUAUAUAGAAAAAAAAGAAACAAUGCACAUGAAAUCGAAAAGGAACCGCUGGAUUGAGAUACGAAUCGUGGUACGUUGGCCUCACACCAAGGACCUCCUCUAUAUGAUACAGGCGGUGGCGUCUGGUACUCUACUACUAUUGCUGUUCCUACUGCUACUGCUACUACUCUGCUCCUAUAACUUCUACAACUUGCUAUAUAGUCGUAUAUAUAUAUGCUCUAUAUAAGCCUACAAUAUUUGCUCAACUCUUCACAGGUCCCCUGGGCGCCAGCAUCGUUGCGAUGAGUCCACGCACCAUGCUAGACUUGAAUCCGGC
rnacentral:misc_RNA from 1 species